UCAUUGUCUGACGACAUUUUCAAAGCCUAUUCUCGAUUCUUUAUAAAUAUAAAAAUCGACAAAAAGUUCAUUGACCUCCUUCGUUAUCUCUUGAUAAAUCGAAUGAAAGAAAAUAAGUAACGCGAUGUCCAAUAUAUUAUAUAUACCAAAUGGUUAGACACGAACUUUAUGGAAAACAAAAAGGUUCCGAAUUAUUAUAACCGAGUCUUUAGUCAGAAUAUAUAUUAUUUUGAUAAUACUACUUACAUGCUUGCGUAAUCUGUGACGUCGUCGAAAAUAAAAGUCGAUGUAUUACAACAAUCGAACGAACUACUUCGACGAUGAAUAAGUAAAAAUGACCAAAUGACAUAAAUUUAUAUAUGUUCGAUAGAUAGAAAUAAUGUUUACCGUUAAAGUUUUACAGUGAAAAAUAAAGUUCGUACGUUCCUAUUA